CUUGGUUUGCCCACUUUCAAGGAACCUGGAUCACUUUCGGGGAACAUCGCUAUAUAGGGAACAAUAUAUAGUUCCUGGCGCAUGACCACUUUUGAGAACCAUGGCUACGAAACAAUGCCAAUACUUCUGGUUUGUCAACAUUCCGAGAAAUAUUGCUUACAGGGAACAAUAAUAUUUCCUGGUUGACAGACCUUCGAAAACGCGGUUAAGGGUCAAAUGUCAAUGUUUCCUUGUUUGCUCACUGACGGGGAACAUGGCCACAAUCUCUGACAAUGUUAUGACAGCUAUAGGGUUUCCCCUGCUACACCUAUUCAAUGUUCGUAACUCAUGAGAUUUUCACUAUGCCAUUUUUAUCAACAUUGAGGGAGAGGGGAAGGAGGAUAGGACUUACAAGUAACAUAUUGGCAGUGUCACAACGACUAUUGUCUGAGGUUGUAGGAUGUUUUGAUAACUUCAUUAUUACGGUUUAAGAUAUAUAGUAUAAGAUUGGAAGUAUAAUUAAGAUUAUUUUACAGUUGGUCACCUGCAAAUCUUUUCCCGCCCCAAACCAAUCACAAUCUUCGCUGUUCAAACAAUGUAGCUCCAAUGCCGCGAGUUCUCGCUUUGUGAAAGCAUCCAAAAAAAUCUAG
rnacentral:lncRNA from 1 species